rnacentral:rRNA from 1 species
GAAGUCGGAAUCGCUAGUAAUCGCGGAUCAGCAUGCCGCGGUGAAUACGUUCCCGGGCCUUGUACACACCGCCCGUCACACCAUGAGAGUUUGUAACACCCAAAGCCGGUGGGGUAACCUUUUGGAGCCAGCCGUCUAAGGUGGGACAGAUGAUUGGGGUGAAGUCGUAACAAGGUAAC